UACGGAGGGUGCAAGCGUUAUCCGGAUUCACUGGGGUUAAAGGGUGCGUAGGUGGGCAAGUAAGUCAGUGGUGAAAUCUCCGGGCUUAACCCGGAAACUGCCAUUGAUACUAUUUGUCUUGAAUACUGUGGAGGUCAGCGGAAUAUGUCAUGUAGCGGUGAAAUGCUUAGAUAUGACAUAGAACACCAAUUGCGAAGGCAGCUGGCUACACAAAUAUUGACACUGAGGCACGAAAGCGUGGGGAGCGAACAGG
rnacentral:rRNA from 1 species